rnacentral:rRNA from 1 species
AACGAACGCUGGCGGCAGGCUUAACACAUGCAAGUCGAGCGCCCCGCAAGGGGAGCGGCAGACGGGGGAGUAACGCGUGGGAAUCUACCCAUCUCUACGGAAUAACGCAUGGAAACGUGUGCUAAUACCGUAUACGUCCUUCGGGAGAAAGAUUUAUCGGAGAUGGAUGAGCCCGCGUUGGAUUAGUUGGUUGGGGGGGUAAAGGCCUACCAAGGCGACGAUCCAUAGCUGGUCGGAGAGGAUGAUCAGCCACACUGGGACUGAGACACGGCCCAGCCGCCUCCGGAGGGCAGCAGUGGGGACUAUUGGACAAUGGGCGCAAGCCGGAUCCAGCCAUGCCUCGUGAGUGAUGAAGGCGCUAGGGUUGUAAAGCUCUUUCACCGGUGAAGAUAAUGACGGUAACCGGAGAAGUAGCCCCGGCUAACUUCGUGCCAGCCGCCGCCGUAAGAC